rnacentral:rRNA from 1 species
AAACUUUCAACAACGGAUCUCUUGGUUCUCGCAUCGAUGAAGAACGCAGCGAAACGCGAUAGUUAAUGUGAAUUGCAGAAUUCAGUGAAUCAUCGAGUCUUUGAACGCACAUUGCGCUUGUUGGUAUUCCGACAAGCACGUCUGUUUGAGCGUCAUG